GGCUGUCAGCUGGGGGGGCUCGGUCCUCUCCUCCUCCCUGUGCCCAUCGCAUCUCCCCGCGGACCAGCCGGCCCUGCCUCUCUUGCUCCCCUCCCUCACUCCUGUCCGGGACCCGGGUUUGGGGCUGGGGGAGGCGGUGCCCACCCCUCCGCGGGGCCGGGGCGAGUGCUGCCGGCGGGAGCGGUGGCUCGGCAGCCCGGGCUGCAGCCCGGGCCGGGCUGCGCUGCGCUGGGGAGCAGGUUUCUUUGUUGGCUGCCGGGUGACUGGUUCCCAUUAAUCUCCCGCACUGGUCGUGGCCGUCUCCACUUCCUGCCUUUGCAUACUUCUCUCUCCUUCGAUCUCAGUCCCUUCCCACCCCCUUCCCUCCCCCCUUUCUUUCCCUCUUCCCAGCUUCUCCAAAAAAACUACAAUCGCCCGGGCUGCGGGACGGGGGCUGCAGGCGGCCGGCGGAGGGAGCGCAUCCCUGCGCACCUCGAAACAUGAAAGAAUACAGGAAGUCCUGCAUGACCUUAUGAAUACCUGUGCUAAUUAAGUCACUGGCUUGGUACUGGGAGAACAGCAAGAUAAUAACACAGAGUUUUGUCUGGGAAAUACAAAUCUGAGAAUG